AUAGCUUCAGUUCAGCGAUGGCGGCUUGACGGGAGGUGGUUUUGGUCCCAAGUUUUUUAGAUCCGACGGCGAGGCACAACCCCGCAUCUCCCCCGCCGGCGACCAUCAGGGCCGGCCAACCGCGCCGUCCCGCCCCGCGGCCCCAUUCCGCCGUAGAUCCUCGCCGCCCGCGCCUCUAUGACCGUCCCCGGUUCGCCGGUUUCUCCCGGUGCAAGCAAGAUGAGCAGCGUGCCGUGGAAGCGGCUGGAGCUCGCCGCGCUGUGCGCCUACGCGGUGGUGUUCUACAGCGCCAUGGUCCAGAGGUCGCUUCGCCUCGCCCGCGAUUACUCCGGGAAACUCUACGGCCUAAGAGCUGGAUCAAUCCCCGGCCGUCUGAACGACUCGUCUGACGCGCAAUGGAGAAACUUCCGUGGGAACUUACCUAUUCUCACCGUUGUAAUGGCUGCAUUUCUGAUCGUGGCGAAAGGGCUGCGAUACGGCUGUAGCUUGAAGGGCAGAGGGGCCUCGUUGGUCUGGCUUAUAUUGUCCCUGAUCUAUCUAUGCUACCUACAUGGUGCUUGUGUUGGCUUCAUUCUUGUAAUAGCAGGGGUUAAUUACGCCAUAGUCAAGUUAUUUGCUCGAUAUAAAUAUUGCACUGGCAUCAUAUGGAGCUUCAACUUAGCUAUGCUUACACUUAACCGGGUCUACGAAGGCUAUUCAUUCUCAUUGUUCGGGCAACAACUGGCUUUCCUUGAUAACUAUCGGGGUACAUUUCGAUGGCACAUAUGCUUCAAUUUUGUUGUAUUACGGAUGAUUAGCUUUGGAUGUGAUUACUGCUGGACACUUAGUUCGUCUCACUUUGAUCACAAGAAACACAUGCAGAAAUGUGAAGUUUGUUAUUCCGGCAAGACAUGCUACUUUGCUUUGCAGGAGAAAGGACUCAGCGUUGACAAAUACACAUUCCUAACAUAUUUAUGCUACCUAACAUAUGCUCCACUCUAUAUUGCUGGACCUGUUGUAAGCUACAACGCAUUUGCAGCUCAGUUAGAUGUACCUCAGAAAAAUUAUUCAGUUGGGCAGAUAUGUUGUUAUGGACUAAGGUGGAUCCUAAAUUUCCUUCUAAUCGAAGUCAUGACACACUUUUUCCAUUACAACGCGUUUGUAGUCAGCCGAUUAUGGCGGCAGUUGGCACCGUUUGAGAUCUUCAUCAUUAGUUAUGGGGUGUUGUUCUUUAUGUGGUUAAAAUUCUUCCUUAUUUGGCGCUACUUCAGGUUCUGGUCACUGGUAGGAGGAGUUGAGACACCUGAAAACAUGCCUAGGUGCAUAAAUAAUUGUCCUGACCUGGAGAGUUUCUGGAAAAGCUGGCAUGCUUCCUUUAACAGAUGGCUGGUCAGGUACGUUUACAUACCUCUUGGUGGGUCUCGAAGAAAACUAAUUAGUGUCUGGAUUGUAUUCACAUUCGUAGCAGUCUGGCAUGACCUGGAAUGGAAACUUAUUUCAUGGGCAUGGUUAACAUGCUUAUUUUUUGUCCCUGAAAUAGUGAUCAAGUCUUUUUCCAACAACUUCCAGGUUACUGUAUUUGUUUGGAGAAAGUUGGACACUCUUUAAAUCUGAAGUUAAGAAAGACAUACAAAUUGAAUGUCCAAACAACAAAGCUAACAUGAUGUCUAGGCAAAAAGUACCCUUGGGCGGUUCAUUCAUCGUGAAUUAUGUGUAAUUGCUGGUGCUGUGACAGUCAGCUCCCUUAUGGUGGCAAACCUUGUUGGCUACGUUGUAGGGCCGUCAGGCAUUAAGGUUCUGAUGUCGCGGAUGCUCCACAAGGAUGCCCUUCCUGCACUUGGCAUCAUAUUCUCUACUUUCUAUGUGGGCGUCAAGCUUAUCUUCCAUAUACGGGACGCUAGAAAGACUUAACGGGUGACAAAACAACUAUGCGGGUUUGACUGUGAACUCGGUGACAUUGCAGGCAUCGUGAUAACAUAGCAGGCUUCCACCACUGCUUUGUUGGCUUUGUUUGACACAAGCAAAAAGCUCAUGUAGGCAUUGAUCUGGGAUUCCUUUGUUGUAGGUUAGGGCCUAGUAUGCCUGCUGGUGUUCUUUCCCUGCGUAUGAUCUUUUGAAUUCGGUUGGCCUGGGGUGAUAUUGCGGAACGUAUGCUUGUAACGACGAUUCCCAUUUUGUUGCUUCAAUGCCUACGACCAGCAACUCGUCGUUUCUAGCUACUGUUUAUAUUCGCACCAAUUCAGCGGAGUCACUUGGUUGUAACUUGGACUGAAGAUGAUAAUGCAAAAAGGUUUGCAGCGGAAUCCAGAGUUAUGUAAAACUUGGCAGGUGAAAUCGUUUGUAAAACUUGGAUCAGCGUUUCCGUUUCAAA